GCGGGAGUGGCAGAGCCUGGCCAAAUGCGCAGGACUUAAGAUCCUGUCCCUUAGUGGGUCCGGGGGUUCGAAUCCCCUCUCCCGCA
rnacentral:tRNA from 1 species